rnacentral:rRNA from 1 species
CCUACGGGGGGCUGCAGUGAGGAAUAUUGGUCAAUGGGCGGAAGCCUGAACCAGCCAAGUAGCGUGCAGGAUGACGGCCCUACGGGUUGUAAACUGCUUUUAUACGGGAAUAACGCGCCUUACGUGUAGGGCUUUGCAUGUACCGUAUGAAUAAGGACCGGCUAAUUCCGUGCCAGCAGCCGCGGUAAUACGGAAGGUCCGGGCGUUAUCCGGAUUUAAUGGGGUUAAAGGGAGCGUAGGCCGCAUGUCAAGCGUGCUGUGAAAUGUCCGGGCUCAACCCGGGCCUUGCAGCGCGAACUGGCGUGCUUGAGUCCGCGGAAAGCAGGCGGAAUUCGUCGUGUAGCGGUGAAAUGCUUAGAUAUGACGAAGAACCCCGAUUGCGAAGGCAGCUUGCUGCAGCGGAACUGACGCUGAUGCUCGAAAGCGCGGGUAUCGAACAGGAUUAGAUACCCGAGUAGUC